GAUGAACGCUGGCGGCGUGCCUAACACAUGCAAGUCGAACGAAGCAUAUCUGACGGAGAUUCGUCGAAGCCGGGUAUGACUUAGUGGCGGACGGGUGAGUAACGCGUGGGGAACCUGCCUUUGUCCGGGGGAUAGCAGCUGGAAACGGCUGGUAAUACCGCAUAAGACCACGAAGCCGCAUGGCUUUGCGGUAAAAGAUUUAUCGGACAGAGAUGGACCCGCGUCUGAUUAGCCAGUUGGCAGGGUAACGGCCUACCAAAGCAACGAUCAGUAGCCGGCCUGAGAGGGCGGACGGCCACAUUGGGACUGAGACACGGCCCAGACUCC
rnacentral:rRNA from 1 species